GACGUAGGGAGCGAGCGUUGUCCGGAUUCAUUGGGCGUAAAGAGCGCGCAGGCGGUUUGGUAAGUCGGAUGUGAAAUCCCGGAGCUCAACUCCGGACCUGCAUCCGAAACUGCCCGACUAGAGGUAGGUAGGGGAGAUCGGAAUUCCUGGUGUAGCGGUGAAAUGCGCAGAUAUCAGGAGGAACACCGGUGGCGAAGGCGGAUCUCUGGGCCUUACCUGACGCUCAGGAGCGAAAGCUAGGGGAGCGAACAGG
rnacentral:rRNA from 1 species